rnacentral:rRNA from 1 species
AAAGUUCCCUUCGGGGAGCGAGUAGAGUGGCGCACGGGUGAGUAACACGUAGGUAAUCUACCUUUGGAUGGGGAAUAACAACCGGAAACGGUUGCUAAUACCGCAUAAUGCAGCGGCACCUAAUGGUGACAGUUGUUAAAGCGGGGGAUCGAAAGACCUCGCGUCUAAAGAGGAGCCUGCGGCGGAUUAGCUAGUUGGUAAGGUAAUGGCUUACCAAGGCGAUGAUCCGUAACCGGCCUGAGAGGGCGGUCGGUCACACUGACACUGACAUACGGGUCAGACUCCUACGGGAGGCAGCAGUCGGGAAUUUUGGGCAAUGGGCGAAAGCCUGACCCAGCAACGCCGCGUGAAGGAUGAAAUCCCUCGGGAUGUAAACUUCGCAAGAACGGGAAGAAUAAGUAAGGGUUAAUAUCUCUUACGAUGACGGUACUGUUUGUAAGCUCCGGCUAACUCCGUGCCAGCAGCCGCGGUAAUACGGGGGGAGCAAGCGUUGUUCGGAUUUACUGGGCGUAAAGGGCGCGUAGGCGGCCACCGCAAGUCGGUUGUGAAAUCUCCGGGCUUAACCCGGAAAGGUCAACCGAUACUGCGGGGCUAGAGUGCAGAAGGGGCAACUGGAAUUCUCGGUGUAGCGGUGAAAUGCGUAGAUAUCGAGAGGAACACCUGCGGCGAAGGCGGGUUGCUGGGCUGACACUGACGCUGAUGCGCGAAAGCCAGGGGAGCGAACGGGAUUAGAUACCCCGGUAGUCCUAGCCUUAAACGAUGAAUGCUUGGUGUCUGGGGUUUUAUAGUCCCCGGGUGCCGUCGCUAACGCUUUAAGCA